ACCAGCCAGCAGGAGACCGCCCACACUCUCCCCUUAAAGAACCAACCCAAUUUGGCUAAAGCGGUAAGAAAGAGGAGUCACCUCUCCUGAUGAGCCUGCUGUUGGCCUGGCUGACGUCUGAUCAUGUCUAAUAACAUCUCUUGUUUACGGACGGGCAAAGUUCUCUACUGCCAUUAUCGCGAUAACCUGGCCUCUGGCUCUCAAAUCCCCACAUUCUGUGAAGCUGCAGGUCAAAGGGGAAGCCGGAUCCCCUGGAACUGGAGUUAGGAGCCGACAUGGGUGCUGUAAGCGGAGCUGUGGUCCUCUGGAAGAGCAGGAAAUGCUUCUAAGCCUUGGGCUGUCUCCCCAGACCCUUGGAGUAGCCUCAUCGCCGACGGAGAAACAACUUGGUUGCUUUUCUGGAAUGUUCCGAGAAAAGACGAAGACCCUUAGCCUUCCGCCUAUAUCCAAUCUGGCUGUCUAUGGUCCUGUGCCCACGUGACUCCACCUGCGCUUUCUCCCUGGGGGCUGACUCUGCGGUUGCCAUCCGAUUUUCUUCUUCCUCUCUGUUGUAGAAAAAAAAAUUUAAAAAGUGUUGGGUUAUAUAAUGUUUAUUAUUAGCCCUAAGAUUAUCAUGGCAGUAUUAUCCUGCUAUCACAAAUAAUAAAACACAGACACCUGUUAGAUUUUAAA